AGGACGAACGCUGGCGGCGUGCUUAACACAUGCAAGUCGAGCGGAAAGGCCCUUCGGGGUACUCGAGCGGCGAACGGGUGAGUAACACGUGAGUAAUCUGCCCCUAGCUCUGGGAUAGCUCCGGGAAACCGGGAUUAAUACCGGAUACGACCACUUUAGACAUCUGUUGUGGUGGAAAGAAUUUUGGCUAGGGAUGAGCUCGCGGCCUAUCAGCUUGUUGGUGGGGUAAUGGCCUACCAAGGCGACGACGGGUAGCCGGCCUGAGAGGGCGACCGGCCACACUGGGACUGAGACACGGCCCAGACUCCUACGGGAGGCAGCAGUGGGGAAUAUUGCGCAAUGGGUGAAAGCCUGACGCAGCAACGCCGCGUGGAGGACGAAGGCUUUCUGAGUUGUAAACUCCUUUCAGCAGGGACGAUUGUGACGGUACCUGCAGAAGAGCACCGGCCAACUACGUGCCAGCAGCCGC
rnacentral:rRNA from 1 species